rnacentral:tRNA from 1 species
GAUCUUAUAGUUUAUUUAAAAAUUAAAAACAUUAAAUUGCAAAUUUAAAGAAUUCUUGAAAAUUAAGAUUU